UUGAACGCUGGCGGUAGGCUUAACACAUGCAAGUCGUGCGAGAAAGUAUCUUCGGAUAUGAGUAGAGCGGCGGACGGGUGAGUAACGCGUAGGAAUCUACCUAGUAGAAGGGGAUAGCCCGGGGAAACCCGGAUUAAUACCGUAUACCUCCUUCGGGAGAAAGAAGGCCUCUCUUUGAAGCUUUCGCUACUAGAUGAGCCUGCGUAAGAUUAGCUUGUUGGUGAGGUAAAGGCUCACCAAGGCGACGAUCUAUAGCUGGUUUGAGAGGAUGAUCAGCAACACUGGGACUGAGACACGGCCCAGACUCCUACGGGAGGCAGCAGUGGGGAAUCUUAG
rnacentral:rRNA from 1 species